rnacentral:rRNA from 1 species
UACGUAGGGGGCAAGCGUUGUCCGGAUUUAUUGGGCGUAAAGAGCGUGUAGGCGGUUAGGUAGGUCCGUUGUGAAAACUCGAGGCUCAACCUCGAGACGCCGAUGGAAACCAUCUGACUAGAGUCCGGAAGAGGAGAGUGGAAUUCCUGGUGUAGCGGUGAAAUGCGCAGAUAUCAGGAAGAACACCCGUGGCUAAGGCGGCUCUCUAGUACGUGACUGACGCUGAGACGCGAAAGCGUUGGGGAGCGAACAGG